rnacentral:rRNA from 1 species
AUUGAACGCUGGCGGCAGGCUUAACACAUGCAAGUCGAGCGAGCGGCGGACGGGUGAGUAAUGUCUGGGAAACUGCCUGAUGGCGGGGGAUAACUACUGGAAACGGUAGCUAAUACCGCAUACCAUCAGAUGAACCCAUAUGGGAUUAGCUAGUAGGUGGGGUAAUGGCUCACCUAGGCGACGAUCCCUAGCUGGUCUGAGAGGAUGACCAGCAACCCUGGAACUGAGACACGGCCCAGACUCCUACGGGAGGCAGCAGUGGGGAAUAUUGCACAAUGGGCGCAAGCCUGAUGCAGCCAUGCCGCGUGUGUGAAGAAGGCCUUCGGGUUGUAAAGCACUUUCAGCGAGGAGGCGUUACCUGCAGAAGAAGCACCGGCUAACUCCGUGCCAGCAGCCGCGGUAAUAC